GAUAACUGCUGAAAGCAUAUAAGUAGUAAGCCCACCCCAAGAUGAGUGCUCUCUCCUCCGACUUCCCUAGAGCCUCCGGUAUCACAGCCGAGACAGCGACGGGUUCUCCACCCAUACGGGGAUGGAGCGACAGAAGUAUGGAAAUACAAUAAGGUAGCGGCGAGACGAGCCGUUUAAAUAGGUGUCAAGUGGAAGUGCAGUGAUGUAUGCAGCUGAGGCAUCCUAACGAACGAACGAUUUGAACCU
rnacentral:ncRNA from 1 species